AUAACAACAGUUACAACCAUACAUCACAAUUGUGGUUAUACAGGAGUAUGAGUAUGACAUGACAUGAUGAACUUGUAUGUUUAAUUCAGGGGUGGCAAAUGUUGGUCCUGGAGGUCUGCAGUCCUGCAGAGUUUAGCUCCAGCUCUAAUCAAACACACCUGAACAGGCUAAAAUCAAGGUCUAAAGAGUUACUAGAAAGCUACGGGCAGGUGAGCUUUUAUCAGGGUUGGAGCUAAAAUCUGCAGGACUGCCCUCUCCAGGACCAAUGUUCGCCAUCCCUGGUUUAAAUGGCACAUAUUUUACAAGGCCAAUUCUUAUGAAUUUGUACAGUAAAUCAUACAAAUACCUAUGACUAUUAUUAAAAUAAGAAUGAAUUAAAUCAGUACAAUGAGCCACCUCGUAACAUACAUAGUACUAAUUGCCAUGAGAUUGUGUUUUUUUAUAAUCAGCUGAAAAAUUAAUUUAAUUCUUUCAUCGAAUUGUAUUUACAAUCUACACAUUAUAGAAAUUAUUGACUGUGAUUAUUUUAUUUUGUUUACAGAAUCAACACAGAAAAACUACAAGGCAUUAAAGGCCCUUGACGUGGAAGACUUAAUUGCAUUAGCCCUGAAAUUUGCCCCACACAGAAAUUUAAAAUGAUGGCAGAGAUUGCUGUGGAGUUCUGAAGUUCAUUGUUUAAAUGUUUUCAUUUUUAAUAUAUUAAAAUGUUUUUUUAUGAUACAAUGUUCUACAUGUUUAUUGCCAAUUUUAUGUGUUAUAUAAGCAAAUUAUCUACCCUAUUAUAUUAUUAUCUAAGUCUAUAAAUUCUAUAAAUGUUCCUGUGAUUAAUGAUUUUGAUUUUAUGUCUACGAAUAAAGAAUCCAUGGAUCAA